rnacentral:rRNA from 1 species
UGGGGAAUAUUGCACAAUGGGCGAAAGCCUGAUGCAGCAACGCCGCGUGAGUGAUGAAGGCCUUCGGGUUGUAAAGCUCUGUCUUUUGGGACGAUAAUGACGGUACCAAAGGAGGAAGCCACGGCUAACUACGUGCCAGCAGCCGCGGUAAUACGUAGGUGGCAAGCGUUGUCCGGAUUUACUGGGCGUAAAGGAUGCGUAGGCGGAUUUUUAAGUGAGAUGUGAAAACCCUAAGCUUAACUUGGGGACUGCAUUUCAUACUGGAAAAUCUAGAGUGCGGGAGAGGAGAAUGGAAAUUCCUAGUGUAGCGGUGAAAUGCGUAGAGAUUAGGAAGAACACCAGUGGCGAAGGCGAUUCUCUGGACCGUAACUGACGCUGAGGCAUGAAAGCGUGGGUAGCAAACAGGAUUAGAUACCCUGGUAGUCCACGCCGUAAACGAUGAGUACUAGGUGUAGGAGGUAUCGACCCCUUCUGUGCCGCAGUUAACACAAUAAGUACUCCGCCUGGGAAGUACGAUCGCAAGAUUAAAAACUUAAAGGAAUUGACGGGGUCAUAGCUGUUUCCU